rnacentral:rRNA from 1 species
GGUCCCGCCUGCCCAGUGAAAUUUUUAACGGCCGCGGUAUUCUAACCGUGCAAAGGUAGCGUAAUCACUUGUCUUCUAAAUAAAGACUCGUAUGAACGGCUAAAUGAGGACGGGCCUGUCUCCUGUGUCCAAUCAGUGAAACUGAUCUUCCAGUACAAAAGCUGGAAUAUAACCAUAAGACGAGAAGACCCUGUGGAGCUUCUAGUGUUAGGUUUUUAGUUGGGGCGACUUCGGAACAAAGUAAAACUUCCGAGUACAAAGGCUGACCCAGUCUUACUGAACAACGAACCAAGUUACCCCAGGGAUAACAGCGCCAUCUUCUUCAAGAGUCCAUAUCGACAAGAAGGUUUACGACCUCGAUGUUGGAUCAGGACACCCAAAUGGUGCAGCCGCUAUUAAAGGUUCGUUUGUUCAACGAUUAACAGUCCUACG